UACGUAGGGUGCGAGCGUUGUCCGGAAUUACUGGGCGUAAAGAGCUCGUAGGCGGUUUGUCGCGUCGGGAGUGAAAACACUGGGCUUAACUCAGUGCUUGCUUCCGAUACGGGCAGACUAGAGGUAUGCAGGGGAGAACGGAAUUCCUGGUGUAGCGGUGAAAUGCGCAGAUAUCAGGAGGAACACCGGUGGCGAAGGCGGUUCUCUGGGCAUUACCUGACGCUGAGGAGCGAAAGUGUGGGGAGCGAACAGG
rnacentral:rRNA from 1 species